rnacentral:rRNA from 1 species
AACGAACGCUGGCGGCAGGCCUAACACAUGCAAGUCGAGCGCCCGUAGCAAUACGGGAGCGGCAGACGGGUGAGUAACACGUGGGAACGUGCCCAAAGGUACGGAACAACUCCGGGAAACUGGAGCUAAUACCGUAUGUGCCCGAAAGGGGAAAGAUUUAUCGCCUUUGGAUCGGCCCGCGUCUGAUUAGCUAGUUGGUGAGGUAAUGGCUCACCAAGGCGACGAUCAGUAGCUGGUCUGAGAGGAUGAUCAGCCACACUGGGACUGAGACACGGCCCAGACUCCUACGGGAGGGCAGCAGUGGGGAAUAUUGGACAAUGGGCGCAAGCCUGAUCCAGCCAUGCCGCGUGAGUGAUGAAGGCCCUAGGGUUGUAAAGCUCUUUUCGGCGGGGACGAUAAUGACGGUACCCGCAGAAGAAGCCCCGGCUAACUUCGUGCCAGCCGCCGCAGU